rnacentral:rRNA from 1 species
GACGAACGCUGGCGGCGUGCCUAAUACAUGCAAGUCGAGCGGACGGAUGGGAGCUUGCUCCCUGACCGUCAGCGGCGGACGGGUGAGUAACACGUGGGCAACCUGCCUGUAAGACCGGGAUAACUCCGGGAAACCGGGGCUUAUACCGGAUAACUCUUUCCCUCACAUGAGGGAAAGAUGAAAGAUGGCAUCUCGCUAUCACUUACAGAUGGGCCCGCGGCGCAUUAGCUAGUUGGUGAGGUAACGGCUCACCAAGGCGACGAUGCGUAGCCGACCUGAGAGGGUGAUCGGCCACACUGGGACUGAGACACGGCCCAGACUCCUACGGGAGGCAGCAGUAGGGAAUCUUCCGCAAUGGACGAAAGUCUGACGGAGCAACGCCGCGUGAGUGAUGAAGGUUUUCGGAUCGUAAAACUCUGUUGUCAGGGAAGAACAAGUACCGGAGUAACUGCCGGUACCUUGACGGUACCUGACCAGAAAGCCACGGCUAACUACGUG